rnacentral:rRNA from 1 species
UCCAGACUCCUACGGGAGGCAGCAGUGGGGAAUAUUGGGCAAUGGGCGCAAGCCUGACCCAGCAACGCCGCGUGAAGGAAGAAGGCUUUCGGGUUGUAAACUUCGUUUAUUGAGGACGAAACAAAUGACGGUACUCAAUGAAUAAGCCACGGCUAACUACGUGCCAGCAGCCGCGGUAAUACGUAGGUGGCAAGCGUUAUCCGGAUUUACUGGGUGUAAAGGGCGUGUAGGCGGGACUGCAAGUCAGAUGUGAAACCCGUGGGCUCAACCCCUGGCCUGCAUUUGAAACUGUAGUUCUUGAGUGGUGGAGAGGCGGGCGGAAUUCCGUGUGUAGCGGUGAAAUGCGUAGAUAUACGGAGGAACACCAGUGGCGAAGGCGGCCUGCUGGACAUUAACUGACGCUGAGGCGCGAAAGCGUGGGGAGCAAACAGGAUUAGAUACCCCAGUA